rnacentral:rRNA from 1 species
AAGCUCCGACCUUUUGGGAAGGAGUGCAGUUAUUAGACCAAAACCAGCCGAGCCUCGGCUCGAGCAACUGUUUGGUGACUCUGGAUAACUACGAGCGGAUCGCAUGGCCUUGUGCCGGCGACAUAUCUUUCAAGUGUCUGACCUAUCAACUGACGAUGGUACGUGAUAUGCCUACCAUGGUGAUAACGGGUAACGGAGAAUAAGGGUUCGACUCCGGAGAGGGAGCCUGAGAAAUGGCUACCACAUCCAAGGAUGGCAGCAGGCGCGCAAAUUACCCACUCUCAGUACGAGGAGGUAGUGACGAAAAAUAACAAUGCGGGACUCUUUGAGGCCUCGCAAUUGGAAUGAGCGCACUUUAAAUCGUUCGACGAGGAUCUAUUGGAGGGCAAGUCUGGUGCCAGCAGCCGCGGUAAUUCCAGCUCCAAUAGCGUAUAUUAAAGUUGUUGCAGUUAAAAAGCUCGUAGUUGGAUCUGGGGUUCGGGUCGGCGGUUUGCCGCUAUGCGGCUACUGCCGUGCUCGACUCUUACUAGCCGGUGCGUCUGCUGUUGUGCUCUUCACUGAGUGCCUGCAGAGCCUGGCAUGUUUACUUUGAAAAAAUUAGAGUGCUCAAAGCAGGCGCUAGCGCCUGAAUAGUGUUGCAUGGAAUAAUGGAAUAGGACCUCGGUUCUAUUUUGUUGGUUUUCGGAACUUGAGGUAAUGAUUAAGAGGGACGGUCGGGGGCAUUCGUAUUUCGGUGUUAGAGGUGAAAUUCUUGGAUCGCUGAAAGACGGACAAAUGCGAAAGCAUUGACAAGAACGUCUCCAUUAAUCAAGAACGAAAGUCAGAGGUUCGAAGACGAUCAGACACCGUCCUAGUUCUGACCAUAAACGAUGCCAACUAGCGAUCCGCAGUGCUUGCUAUUAACGGACUCUGCGAGCAGCUUCCGGGAAACCAAAGUGUUUGGGUUCCGGGGGAAGUAUGGUUGCAAAGCUGAAACUUAAAGGAAUUGACGGAAGGGCACCACCAGGAGUGGAGCCUGCGGCUUAAUUUGACUCAACACGGGAAAACUCACCCGGUCCGGACACCGUAAGGAUUGACAGAUCGACAGCUCUUUCUUGAUUCGGUGGAUGGUGGUGCAUGGCCGUUCUUAGUUGGUGGAGUGAUUUGUCUGGUUAAUUCCGAUAACGAACGAGACUCUAGCCUGCUAACUAGUUGCGCCGUGUUCAUUCGCGGCUGUAGACUUCUUAGAGGGACAGAUGGCGUAUAGCCAUACGAAAUUGAGCAAUAACAGGUCUGUGAUGCCCUUAGAUGUCCGGGGCCGCACGCGCGCUACACUGAAGGAGUCAGCGUGUGCUAUCCGCGCUCGGAAGAGCUCGGUAACCCGUUGAAACUCCUUCGUGCUUGGGAUUGUGGCUUGUAAUUAUCGCGCAUGAACGAGGAAUUCCCAGUAAGUGCAAGUCAUCAGCUUGCGCUGACUACGUCCCUGCCCUUUGUACACACCGCCCGUCGCUACUACCGAUUGAA